UUCAGACACUUUACUCACAGAGAUUUUGGUGAGCUUCAGGUAUUUGAAAGCUUUUAUUAAUGUGGAUCCCUGACUUUGGUUUACUGUCAGUGAUGUAUCAAAACCAGCGGAAUGCUGGUGGGUAUUUGGUCUUGUUCCAGCCUCAGCACUCCUCACGACUCUAUUAUCAUUUUUCCUUCACUGACACCUCCAGAGCCUUGUGGAAGAUCUCAGCUGCAAGAGCCAGUGCAGCUACAGACACAGAGUGCUAAUUGCAGAGAGCAAGCACAGCUGAAAGGGGCAGGAAGGAUUUUUUCUGUUGCCUUCAUGCAAAAUUUCUUUAAAAUAGCAUAAAACAUCCCAAUGCAUCCGACUGAACUAAGUAUUCACUAGCCAAGAGUUCUGUCUUGGACAGUGAUCACACAGCCAGAAAAAGGUGUAAGGACCAGGUAAAGAUGGCAAAGAUGGCAUGGAUUUAAUUCAACACACUUGCCCAGUUUCGAGUGAUUUCUUAAACUAGAAACAGCUUUUGCUGAUACUUCUUGACAAGAUUUUCUAUGAUGUCUCUAAGUGCCUUCUGAGCCUUGAAUUAACACUGUGCCCUGUGACAGGGAAUGUCAUACUUCAUCAUGACAUGGAAUUCAAAUCCUUAUGAAAAUACUGGGCUUAAAUGAGGUUUCUCCUUCCUUCAGGUUAAUGGCCCUCUCAAUUCCAACAUCAUUUUUCAUAACCGCAUAUAAAUAGGAAUAUUUAGCAAUUGCACAUCACAAACAUAUAGACUUCAUAGAGUCACUGGAUGGUUUGGCUUGGUUGGGUUUUCAAGAUCAUCCAGUCCAACCCCCUUUAAAUGCUCUUUCAAAUGCCUUUCAAUUUAGACACCUGAAAUCAAGGGCUAAGUCCAUGUGCCUGAUGUUCUCAGGCAAUUGCAAGCAAUUCUAGCCCAGAAGCUGUGGUAGCUACAUUUGUUCAGCAAAGUAUUACAGAUAAAAAGUCCUUUUCUGCCUCCUUUUCUCCCCAUAAAAUUUCACCUGGGACCCAAAAAUAACUUUCUGGAUAACAGAAAUUGGUACAUUGCCACAAAAUGUUUCCACCUCAGCAAGCUAGCAUUUCUGGCAAAAAACCAACCCCAAACCUAUUUAGUGAGGAAUUUCAAGAAAGCUGUAAUGAAUUACUUAACUAGGCUCCCCAGCCUUGCUAGUGGUUCAGUAAAUGUGCUGAUCUCUGCCUGAUGGCACUUGGCUUAGUUUUUGUAUCUCUGAAAAAUAAACAGAAGGUUUGCCAGUGGCUUUGGUGAGAACAGAUUGAGGCUAUAAAGAAAUCAAGACAAUUUCCUUCUGGAAACCGGUAGCUUUCUGUUAAUAGAGGAAUCCAGAGGAAGAGAAAGCAGCAUGACCUGUGGAAAGAUUUCAUUAUCUCAAAACAUCCAGCCUUUUGAAAAGGAGGACGUGUAAUUAAAAUGCAGAGACUGAAAAAAAAAACCAUCUCUCUCAGUGUGCAAAGUAGCAGCCCUGGAAGCAGCUUCCAUGGCCCAGGAGAGGAAGGCAGGGAAAUGGCAAUGGGCACUGAGCCACAAAAGUCCUCUCAAAGGUGGAAAGUGAAGGUUGAGCUGUGCACUCUGCCUGAAGCCCAGCAGGAUCAGUGUCCAGCACCAGCCUGGCUCGCACACACUGGGUGGUGUACAUUUUCUAGGGAGAGUCUGAUGAGGAUAUAAGAAAAUAAGGAUAUUUUUUCUAAAGUCCUCUGCAUCCGUUUUCAAUGAAGAAAGGAAGUAAGAAAACCUGCAGCUGCUGAAUGUUGGGUGCAUCAAAUCCAGGACUGAUGGUACAGCUUUUUGCAACUUCUUUCCAUCCUAAUUUUGCACUAAAAAUACAUUAUGCCAUUUCCUAAAAGGUUUCACGAAUGCUUUUAGUGCACCAGGAAGUGAAUAAUUCUCUUUAUCCUGACCAAAAAAAGUCUCAGUUCCUCAUUAACCUUUUCACAGGAUGUAAUCUCCUGUAGUUCUGCAGAAGAGGUGUUGCCUAACUGGGGUGUUCUUGCUUCCUGUUAUUUCAUAGCCCUACGGGGAAAUAAACAGUGUUUCGAAGAAAAAGAGAGGAAGUGAAAAUGGCAAGGGAACAACAGAAGCAUCUCUAUUAUUUUUCUACACCAGGUUAUCUCUAGAUUGCCGUGCCAUUGCCUCAGGUUUAAAGAAACCCAAGGAGAAAUCAAGCAAUUCACACACAGUCCCAACUGCUGCAUGAGAUUGUACCUGAACCAGAUGGUAUUUAAAGCCCAUUGUAGACAGAGUAUGAUCACACAGGCUCAGGCAUCCAUGCAAUUUUUGCAGCAACAUAAGAGGGACCAUGAUAUCAGAUAAUUCAGGACCCCUGACACAGGGAGAAAUUAUGAGGAGGACUCCAUGAUAUCAGAAGGCUAAUUAAUUACUUUAUUAUACUAUAUUAUUCUGUACUAUAUUACAAUAUAUCUAAACUGAAACUGCACAAGCACUCAACUCAACAAAAUCUCCUGACUCUCUCCUGACCGACAGUCAGGACACAGUUUGCAGAGAUUGGUCAAGAAAACAAAACACUCACACCAGAAUCCAAUCAAGCAAAUUCCUUCAGGUAAAUACUCUUCCAACACAUUCCACAUGUUCCAAAACACAGGAGCAGUAAAUGAGAUAAGAAUUGUUUUGAUCUUUGUGCUUCUCCAGGAAAAACCUGAGAGAGGGAAUUAGGUGUCUCUUUGUUCAGAGAACCACGAGCCCACAAAUGUACUGAGAGCAGGAGGACAGCAAGGUGACCUCACACAGUGUCACAGAGCUCCAGGAAGGGCCAGCUGGCCCUCACCACACGGCAGAGCUGCAGAGAGGAACUCCCUCCUCCUCCUCCUCUUCACCAUCUCAGCACUUCAGGACCCCUGAGAAGAGCUCAGGCCUGUCAGGUCCUCCUGUUCAGCCCGUGGCCUGCACAUAAACCAGUGUGAAGACUUUGCACAAAUGGCAUGUGAAAUUCCUAAGACAUAUUUGGUGAAAAUUUGCUCCUACUGCUGGAUCCCUUCUCUUCCACCUUCAAAAAACUUCCAUGCAACUUCAUAUGUUUGCUAAAUUCCAAAGCAAAAAUGAAAACUCGGAACAAAUUUUCCCUUUUUUAUUUUUGCAGCAAUAAUUUAAAAAAAAAUCUUUGUAUCUGUGCAAUUAUUUGGAAACAAUGUUCUUUGUAAAACAAGUGAAAAAUUACACAAUAAAUGAAUGGAAAAUAAAA